AUUUACAGCUUCCAAUUACAUGAGUCUCUAUCCCAAUUACAGCUUCGUAGUCUCUCAGAAUCUCAUCAAGCUUGUUGCUUUUAUGUUUUUUGGGUGCAACCCUCGACGGAGAAGUCUGUUUAGCUUCAUGGGUCGUUGCUGUUUGUCUUCCACAACACCUCACGGAGACGUUGUUACUCCUAAUCAAGGCAGUUCCAAGAAGUGAGAACUGGUUUAGCUGAAUUGCUCUUAACAAUGUCGUCGACAUGUUGUUAAGAAUGCUUUAAAGAAUCAGAAAUGAGGAGCUUAAGCAGACGGAACCUGGUCGCAUCACUUCUCACCGGAGUCGUAUCGAAGGAGAAGAGCCGUCGACUUAUCUUUUCACCAAAUUGGGCUUAAUCGAGUGAUUGGGCCUUUUAUGUAUUUUUGAAGCCCAAUUAAAAUUAGACUGCUCUGUUUAAUCUAGUUCUCUAGUUUGUUCGAAUUAUCAUCGAAUCUGUCUCUUCUUCUUCGUCACUCUCUCUUCUCCUUCCUUCCUCUGAUUUGAUUCUUCACCUUAAUUACCCUAAUCCCUAUUUCUGACCUCUAUUUCUGUUAUCUCCUUGAUAAGAACUCCACAAGCUAAACGGCACCGCAAAAUAUAGGUAAUGACGGCAGCGGCAAGUAAGGAGCAGACUCCGACUGAACUGUAUUAGCCUAACCAAUCCAAAACUGAGUCGAAGUCGAAGUUGAAGUCACAGACGAAGUCAAACCCCAGCCGGAACUGCUUUGAUUGCUCAUCUUCGGGAUCGAACUGUAGUCAAUAAUUCAAAAAAUUAGGGUUUCAAGGUAUUGAAAUUUCAGGGAAAUUCGAAGAAUCAAAGAGGAAUUUGAGGGAGAUUGAAGAAUGUGUGAAGAGCCAUGGAGAAAAUUUAGAGGAAAUUAGUAAGAGAUGCAAUUGGCGGAGGAAAAAUCACAUUCCCUGUUUCCGUUAAACAGAUUGUGGAUCCUAAAUUAACUUCUACAUACUUGGUUACCUGACACCCACGGCGAGGCACAUUACAGUACCUGUAUGCUUCUCGCUGGAAUCUUUGGCGGUGAGAGUCCUCUAUAUGCUGUUGUACAGCUUGCUCAGACCACAAUGCGUAGUGAGCUGGGUAAGAUCACGCUUCUUUUUUCUCUCUUUCAAGUUUUAGAACUGUAUUUCAAGUUUUACAUUGCAAAGAACAAUGUAACCCGAUACUUGACCACGCCAAUAGGCUCACCAGAACAACGUUUGCAAAUUAGGGAAGAUCCUGAUUCCAGAAGCUUUAACCCACACUUUCCACAUGCAAUGUAUUAAGGUAGACUGCAUUAUAUAUAUCUUUGUUACUAAUUAAAAUAAAGAAGCUGAAAAGAUGUAUAUAAACAUAUGGAAGUUGUAUACCUGUUCAUCAAGUAGGAGGAAAUAUAGGCUGAUUAUUUUGC